GGAUGUGAGGUCAAUCUGGCUGAGCCAUCUGUCACUCAACUGACUGCCAGGGUUGACUCAACUGAUGUAGCUGACUAGGUGGGUGACCCCUUCCUCCCUCUCCACUCCGUGUGUGUCCCUUCCAAAGCUGCAUACGGGGUCAAAGAGGAUGGCCUCCCUGAAUAGAGAGGACCAGCCUUUGGUCCAGGGUAUACAAGUAGAUGUGCUCCCCUGUUAGAACCUCCAAAAAAGCUCUCAAGGUCCAUUUUGCAUUCACCUGUUGCCACUCAGCUAGCAAUUUUAGAUCAGCAAUUUGGAUUAGAGGAAAAGUAAGGAGUUUAAUCUGAUAAAACAUACAACCAGUGGGAAGUU
rfam:Erinaceus europaeus unplaced genomic scaffold scaffold00127, whole genome shotgun sequence